rnacentral:rRNA from 1 species
AUUGAACGCUGGCGGCAGGCCCAACACAUGCAAGUCGAACGAGUGGCGGACGGGUGAGUAUUGUCUGGGAAACUGCCCGAAGGAGGGGGAUAACUACUGGAAACGGUAGCUAAUACCGCAUACCAUCGGAUGUGCCCAGUUGGGAUUAGCUAGUAGGUGGGGUAAAGGCUCACCUAGGCGACGAUCCCUAGCUGGUCUGAGAGGAUGACCAGCCACACUGGAACUGAGACACGGUCCAGACUCCUACGGGAGGCAGCAGUGGGAAAUAUUGCACGAUGGGCGCAAGCCUGGUGCAGCCAUGCCGCGUGUAUUAAGAGGGCCUUCGGGUUGUAAAGUACUUUCAGCGGGGAAGCGUUACCCGCAGAAGAAGCACCGGCUAACUCCGUGCCAGCAGCCGCGGUAAUAC